CCUACGGGAGGCAGCAGUGAGGAAUAUUGGACAAUGGGCGCAAGCCUGAUCCAGCCAUGCCGCGUGCAGGAUGACGGUCCUAUGGAUUGUAAACUGCUUUUAUACGAGAAGAAACACUACUUCGUGAAGUAGCUUGACGGUAUCGUAAGAAUAAGGAUCGGCUAACUCCGUGCCAGCAGCCGCGGUAAUACGGAGGAUCCAAGCGUUAUCCGGAAUCAUUGGGUUUAAAGGGUCCGUAGGCGGUUUAAUAAGUCAGUGGUGAAAGCCCAUCGCUCAACGGUGGAACGGCCAUUGAUACUGUUAAACUUGAAUUAUUAGGAAGUAACUAGAAUAUGUAGUGUAGCGGUGAAAUGCUUAGAGAUUACAUGGAAUACCAAUUGCGAAGGCAGGUUACUACUAAUUGAUUGACGCUGAUGGACGAAAGCGUGGGUAGCGAACAGGAUUAGAUACCCUGGUAGUCCACGCCGUAAACGAUGGAUACUAGCUGUUGGGAGNAUACUCAGUGNGUAAGACGAAGUAGAGUAAGUAAGUACCACCGUACGGGAGGUAACGGUUACGUCGAAGAAAGUAGUUAAAGUUAAAAGGUAAAGUUAGUUAGGCGUGAGAGNGCGACGGACGACGACGAGGGAGGAGGAG
rnacentral:rRNA from 1 species